UACAGAGGGGGCAAGCGUUGUUCGGAAUUACUGGGCGUAAAGGGCGCGUAGGCGGCCCGCUAAGUCGAACGUGAAAUCCCCGGGCUCAACCCGGGAACUGCGUCCGAUACUGGCAGGCUUGAAUCCGGAAGAGGAGAGUGGAAUUCCUGGUGUAGCGGUGAAAUGCGCAGAUAUCAGGAAGAACACCCGUGGCGAAGGCGGCUCUCUGGGACGGUACUGACGCUGAGACGCGAAAGCGUGGGGAGCGAACAGG
rnacentral:rRNA from 1 species